CUUGAACUAUAUGCAAAAAGGCCGAGACACACCCGAACUUUAGAAGGAUCCUAUUACCUCCCUGGACUAGUUAAAAUCGUAUUUUUGACAACCUUAGUGCUACGCGGUACACACGUGUGCCUACGUGGACCCUUUAGUGUGUUGUGCCACGUAUGUACCACGUAGGCACUAAGGUUUUCAAAAUAUGAUUUUAAUUAGUCCGGGGGGUAAUAGGACCUUCCUAAAGUUCGGAUGUUUCUCGGCCUUUUCGCAUAUAGUUCAAGGUGGUAAUAGAGCAUUUUCUCUUUAUU
rnacentral:lncRNA from 1 species